CGCUGGGGCUCCUCCAGACCGCGGUCAGGUGUGACCGCUGGGAGGUCCAGUUUUACAGAACUGUUGCUGGGAAUCUUCUAGGCCUGUGUGGCCAGAACGCCGAGGUUGUGGAGCGGAAGGUGCCGCCCAGCGGCCUGGGUAGAGCCCAGUCAGAGCCCGGCUCCUAGCCGAGCAGGGGCCCCGGCGGCCCAGAGCGGGCACACUUGCGGGGCUCGGACACUGUCUUCGUGGUGAACAGCUUGCUUUGCGUUCUGCCAGUCACACCGCUGGGAUCUGUCCGAACCGUCCCAGUGUCUUCACUCCUGCUGUCUCGGCACAGCUGUGAACAUACUGCUCCUGGGAGCAUGACAAUCGCUUGACUCCAAACCUGGGGAAUAAGAGAGAGGGCUGUUGAGUGAUAGUUGAACCUAGAGAAGAGCUGCUUCCAAACACAGCAUUGAGAAGUCCCCUGUGGGGUGUUCAUUUGCCCCGAACGCCUCCGAAUCUGCUGAGACCACCUAUUCUCAAAGGCCUCUGAACAGCUGCUUGUCACUGAGCCAGGCCAGUCCUCCCUUUGAGAAGUAAUGUCUGAUCUCCAAACACGAGCAUUAAAGCGCCCCGCUCUUCCUGUUUUUUUGCUGCCUACCCCAGCUUCUUAAGUCCUUUUUUAAAAACAUACCAACCCGGGCACCUUCUGAUACAUUAGGUAAAAGGCCUGCAUGAACUUGUGGACACAGAACUGAAAAACAAAAAGCAAAAACCAGAAAAUGUGAUACCACCAGGGAACCCUGUGGUUAUGGAUGGAACCUCAUCACCUAUUCAGAGGGGCUGGAUUUCGUCGUGUCUCAGCUGACUCAUCACCCUGCUGGUUAAUUCUGAGCUGGUGUUCCUUCUGGCUGCUCCAUGGACAAAAUACUGCCAGAGACGAGGGAAGACCAGCGAGGGGUCUGAGACACCAGUCCAGGAGGGGGAUGAUAGUGGCUUGGACCAGAAGGGCAGCAGCGGAAGUGGAGAGAAACAGCGGGGUCAGAUAACUCCCACUUUUCUACCACGGAGAGAAACACCGGCUGUCAGUCAAGAGGACAGAAGAGCAGCCGGAGUAAAGUCUGCCAGGUGACGGCUGGGUUUCUGGCCAGUUACCACCCAGCACAACUAUGCAGCCCAACAGGCCUUCAGAACUGGGCUUGAAGAUGUGUUCAGUUAAACUGGUUACUGGUUUGGCAGAGGAAGACCACGGAGGCACAGCGCCUUUCCCAUCCCAUCAAAUCCAGGGCCCACACCAUCAACCUGACUUGCCCCUGCUGGUGAGGACCUUGCUCACCGGACUGAGGUCGUGUCCAUCGGGUGUCUCCGCUGUGAAGCGCUGUCUCCCCACCCCCGCCUCUGUCCGCUUUGGAAGAAAGUCCCCACGUGCCGCCCACUCUUAAGGGUGACGAGUUCUCCCUGAGGAGAAGUAGCUGGAAUUCAUAUGCACCAGAGACGACUGUCUCUUUUCCUCAUUUAUUUAAUCAAUCGUCUGUUUAUAUCAGUGUAACCUUGUGGAUAAUUAUUUUUUGCUUGGGGUUUCAACCCACCCCUAUGCUACUUCCUGCUCAAAUUGUUCCAGUUUUGGCCCUGGGGAGCCCUUCCCCUCAGCUCCUUCGACAAACCCCAUCGUGUGUGUGUACGUGUGUGCAGCACUCCCUUACUCUAGAAGAUACUCCAGGCUCAUCGUGUCUACUCCCUGCCCCAGCCCUAGAAUCCGUCACUUCUCAGAGGAGCCCGGGCUCCUUUUACUGGGGACUGAAUGAUACUGGAAAUCAAGAUCAGAUGUGCUCCCGCCUUCUAAGCCCUCACAGCGGUCGGCGAGCAAACACCUGUGCAGCUGCUAACAAUGUCCAGCUUAUCUAGAAAUAUUUCUAAAUGUAUCCAUCUGUUGCAACAGAGGCUAAGCAUGAGUUCUCGCUUAGGUCCCUGACUCUAAUCCACAGGGGUCCCUCUAGCGUUCCCCCCCUGUGCUUGUCUGUAACCUCCCACUCCAACAGAUGGCUGCCACCAUCCACCGACUUCAUUGUUCAACUCCAGUGUGUGUGUAUAGUAUGAUUUCAGAAUUGCUAACCUGCCCCCCCAUAGGAAACAACUUUACCCGCUACAGCACAGUGCUCUGCGCAGUUCUCUUGCCUUGCGUUUUACAGACUCCGCUCACUUCCAGUAUUACUUAGGUCAGCAUCUUCUCUCCCAUCCAAACCUCCUUUCCUGGACUGGUUUCCCCUUCUCCUGCCAAUAAACCUGGCCAGGGUGGGGUGGGGGAGCUCCGGCAGUGGAGUCCUCUGCAGGGGCUGGAUCCCCACGCCCUAUCGGCUCUCAUCAGUCCCCUCUCAUCACUGGACUGAGUGACAUCCCCCUACCCCAAAACAACCCAGGUCAUUCCUCUCGACUUACCUGCCAAGCUCUGUGACCUCAGGGAUGGACCUGGCCCCAAGCCCAGCUCUGGUCAGUCUUAGGACUGACUCCUGUCUGAGGACCACUGUGCAUCCCCCCGGGACCUCACAGCGGGGGUCAGCCGCUCUGGGCCCUGGCCAAGCUGUCCAGCCAUCCUGCUGGCCCACCUGGUAACUGGGGCCUUCUCGGAUUACU